rnacentral:rRNA from 1 species
CCUACGGGUGGGCAGCAGUGGGGAAUAUUGGACAAUGGGGGGAACCCUGAUCCAGCCAUGCCGCGUGUGUGAAGAAGGCCCUCGGGUUGUAAAGCACUUUCAGUGAGGAAGAACGCCUGGUGGUUAAUACCCAUCAGGAAAGACAUCACUCACAGAAGAAGCACCGGCUAACUCCGUGCCAGCAGCCGCGGUAAUACGGAGGGUGCGAGCGUUAAUCGGAAUUACUGGGCGUAAAGCGCGCGUAGGUGGCUUGAUAAGCCGGUUGUGAAAGCCCCGGGCUCAACCUGGGAACGGCAUCCGGAACUGUCAAGCUAGAGUGCAGGAGAGGAAGGUAGAAUUCCCGGUGUAGCGGUGAAAUGCGUAGAGAUCGGGAGGAAUACCAGUGGCGAAGGCGGCCUUCUGGACUGACACUGACACUGAGGUGCGAAAGCGUGGGUAGCAAACAGGAUUAGAUACCCUUGUAGUC